GACGAACGCUGGCGGCGUGCUUAACACAUGCAAGUCGAGCGGUAAGGCCCUUUCGGGGGUACACGAGCGGCGAACGGGUGAGUAACACGUGGGUGACCUGCCCUCAGCUCUGGGAUAAGCCUGGGAAACCGGGUCUAAUACUGGAUAUGACUCCAUGACGCAUGUUGUGGGGUGGAAAGCCUUGUGCGGCUGAGGAUGGGCCCGCGGCCUAUCAGCUUGUUGGUGGGGUGANGGCCUACCAAGGCGACGACGGGUAGCCGGCCUGAGAGGGCGACCGGCCACACUGGGACUGAGACACGGCCCAGACUCCUACGGGAGGCAGCAGUGGGGAAUCUUGCGCAAUGGGCGAAAGCCUGACGCAGCGACGCCGCGUGAGGGAUGACGGCCUGGUU
rnacentral:rRNA from 1 species